UACGUAGGGGGCAAGCGUUGUCCGGAUUUAUUGGGCGUAAAGCGCGUGUAGGCGGCCACACAGGUCCGCUGUGAAAACUCGAGGCUCAACCUCGAGCUGUCGGUGGAAACCGUGUGGCUAGAGUCCGGAAGAGGAGACUGGAAUUCCUGGUGUAGCGGUGAAAUGCGCAGAUAUCAGGAAGAACACCCGUGGCUAAGGCGGCUCUCUAGUACGGUACUGACGCUGAGACGCGAAAGCGUGGGGAGCGAACAGG
rnacentral:rRNA from 1 species